rnacentral:rRNA from 1 species
AUUGGACGCUGGCGGCAGGCUUAACACAUGCAAGUCGAGCGGAGAUGAGGUGCUUGCACCUUAUCUUAGCGGCGGACGGGUGAGUAAUGCUUAGGAAUCUGCCUAUUAGUGGGGGACAACAUUCCGAAAGGAAUGCUAAUACCGCAUACGUCCUACGGGAGAAAGCAGGGGAUCUUCGGACCUUGCGCUAAUAGAUGAGCCUAAGUCGGAUUAGCUAGUUGGUGGGGUAAAGGCCUACCAAGGCGACGAUCUGUAGCGGGUCUGAGAGGAUGAUCCGCCACACUGGGACUGAGACACGGCCCAGACUCCUACGGGAGGCAGCAGUGGGGAAUAUUGGACAAUGGGGGGAACCCUGAUCCAGCCAUGCCGCGUGUAUGAAGAAGGCCUUAUGGUUGUAAAGCACUUUAAGCGAGGAGGAGGCUACUGAGACUAAUACUCUUGGAUAGUGGACAUUACUCGCAGAAUAAGCACCGGCUAACUCUGUGCCAGCCGCCGCCGUAAUAC